rnacentral:lncRNA from 1 species
AUGACUAAUAACUAAAGAGUUUUCGUUAAGAUCACUUUAAAGUGCAACUAAUAACGAGAAAAUAAGUAGAGAUGGAAAUUUAGUCAAGUACCGACUAAAGUAAAUGAUAGUUAAAAGGGGUAGUGGCAAAAAAAAUCCGAAAUGGGUCGGAUGGGCAAAUUGGUAAUUAUUAACCAUGUUUUGCUACUUAUGAAGAUGCUUGGUCAUAUAGGCCAAACGGGUCAAAUGGCGUGAUAACACCAUUUGACUAUAUAGACUGAUGUGGUUGUCAAGUCUUGUGUUAACAGGAGCGAUUAGCGAUUCGGAUACUCCCGUCGCCAUAGAAAAUGUGGUAGUAAAAGCGAGGUAUAAAUCGGGUCUAUUUGUUGAUCCGAGCCAGGUACGCAUAUUUAUGUAGUAGUUAAAAGUGAUAUUUUGGUCGAAUAAUUGGUGAGAGUCCUUCAUUGUAAAAGAAGGACCAAAAUC